CUUUUUUGCAGUAAAAAUUCUUUCAUUAUCAUUGAUAAUGAAUCUGUCACUAAGUGGUGUGGGUGCUUCGUUAGCCUGGAACGUGGGGUAUAUUUCUUGAAUCGACGGUAAAGUGGAAGCAAUCAAAUUGGGUUCAUCAAGCAAUUAAUGGUCCUGCAAAUGCUGGACUAUCGCUUCCUUAUUAAUCCCACAUUGUCUCCACUGCCCACGCUUGUUCUACUUAUCCCCAUUUCUUGUUAUUUAAUAAGUUUUGCUCUCACAUUCUUCAUCAUCAUCAUCACAAUCAUCAACAUCUCAUCAUCUAAUAAAUAAAUUUUCUAUGUCGGAUAUUUUGUUAUUAUGUAAUAUUUAAUAAUAUUUAAUUACCAAAUUGAUUCUUAUCUAC
rnacentral:lncRNA from 1 species